GGCACAAGAGACACUUCUGGGGUGAUGGUUCCCUGGGCAUACAUAUCUCAUUACUGACUGUACCCUGAAAAUGGGUAUAUUUUGUUGUGUGUAUUUAUGCCUAAAUAAGGAUGACUAGAAAGAAACUCUCUUUGUCCCGACUCCUUGCUGUUCACAGUGACCUCAACCCCAGUCUGGUUCUGGGCUAACUUUAGUGAGUCUCUACUGUAUGCACUGGGCAUCCACACCCACCAUCUCAGUCCAUGUGAACAACACGUGGAAGGCAGUGACUUUGAUCUGUUUUGAGCAUUGCUGCAACUCCACAACAGAAAACACACAGUAGGUACUAAUAAAUCUGCGGACUCACGGACAAACCAAAUGAAUGAACCUGCCCAACAGCCCUGAGGUGGAAAUUAACCCACCUGACAGAAGAAAGCUAACUUCAGAAGGAGACUUGCCCAAGAUUACACAGCUUGAAAGUGCCAGAAUUACCUCUAGUCCUCAGUUCCCAUUAAUACGACAGAGGCCAUAACACUUCAUCCUAAGGGAAAGAGGGGACUAGGUCACACGGGCCCUGAAAUCCGUUCCAAGACACCCCUGUCCCUGCAGAACAAUCCCUCCAAGAAUUAGUUCUCUCCGCUAUGAAAUGGGAGCAAAAGGCCGGGCAUGGUGGCUCACGCCUGUAGUCCCCGCACUUUGGGAGGCAGAGGCAGGCGGAUCACCUGAGGUCAGGAGUUCGAGACUAGCCUGGCCAACAUGGUGAAACCCCAUCUCUACUAAAAAUACAAAAAUUAUCUGGGCGUGGUGGCGUGCGCCUGUAAUCCCAGCUA
rnacentral:lncRNA from 1 species